CGUUAGCGGCGGACGGGUGAGUAACACGUGGGUAACCUACCUAUAAGACUGGGAUAACUUCGGGAAACCGGAGCUAAUACCGGAUAAUAUUUCGAACCGCAUGGUUCGAUAGUGAAAGAUGGUUUUGCUAUCACUUAUAGAUGGACCCGCGCCGUAUUAGCUAGUUGGUAAGGUAACGGCUUACCAAGGCGACGAUACGUAGCCGACCUGAGAGGGUGAUCGGCCACACUGGAACUGAGACACGGUCCAGACUCCUACGGGAGGCAGCAGCCA
rnacentral:rRNA from 1 species